rnacentral:rRNA from 1 species
UAGGGAAUCUUCCACAAUGGACGCAAGUCUGAUGGAGCAACGCCGCGUGAGUGAAGAAGGUUUUCGGACCGUAAAGCUCUGUUGUUGGUGAAGAAGGAUAGAGGUAGUAACUGGCCUUUAUUUGACGGUAAUCAACCAGAAAGUCACGGCUAACUACGUGCCAGCAGCCGCGGUAAUACGUAGGUGGCAAGCGUUGUCCGGAUUUAUUGGGCGUAAAGCGAGCACAGGCGGAAGAAUAAGUCUGAUGUGAAAGCCCUCGGCUUAACCGAGGAAUUGCAUCGGAAACUGUUUUCUUGAGUGCAGAAGAGGAGAGUAGAACUCCAUGUGUAGCGGUGGAAUGCGUAGAUAUAUGGAAGAAUACCAGUGGCGAAGGCGGCUCUCUGGUCUGCAACUGACGCUGAGGCUCGAAAGCAUGGGUAGCGAACAGGAUUAGAUACCCUGGUAGUCCAUGCCGUAAACGAUGAGUGCUAAGUGUUGGGAGGCUUCCGCCUCUCAGUGCUGCAGCUAACGCAUUAAGCACUCCGCCUGGGGAGUACGACCGCAAGGUUGAAAC